GUCGUAUUGCCAUAGAUUGACAUGAAAAUUACUGUGCUUCUUCCUAUUACUACUCCCUGAUAUUUCUUAACAUUUAAAUCUCCAUAUCAAUGCAAAGAAAGAAUAUCUUAAAUUAAUUCUAAGAAAGAAUAUCUUAAAUUAAGAAUAACUUGAAAUAGGGGCCAAGAAAAAGAGAGGGUAUAUGUGCAUGUAUGGCCGGGGUUUCUGCACAAUAUUAACAACAGGAGUUUCAGUAUGAAAGUGUACAAUGCAUGGACUCC
rnacentral:lncRNA from 1 species